rnacentral:misc_RNA from 1 species
UCUCGGCUUAUCACCGGCAGUCCCCUUAGAGUGCCCAACUGAAUGCUGGCAACUAAGGGCGAGGGUUGCGCUCGUUACGGGACUUAACCCAACAUCUCACGACACGAGCUGACGACAACCAUGCACCACCUGUAUACCGACCUUGCGGGGAGACUGUUUCCAGCCUUUACCGGUAUAUGUCAAGCCUUGGUAAGGUUCUUCGCGUUGCAUCGAAUUAAUCCGCAUGCUCCGCCGCUUGUGCGGGCCCCCGUCAAUUCCUUUGAGUUUCAACCUUGCGGCCGUACUCCCCAGGCGGUCAACUUCACGCGUUAGCUUCGUUACUGAGUCAGUGAAGACCCAACAACCAGUUGACAUCGUUUAGGGCGUGGACUAC